rnacentral:rRNA from 1 species
GGCUGCUCCUAGUACGAGAGGACCGGAGUGGACGCAUCACUGGUGUUCGGGUUGUCAUGCCAAUGGCACUGCCCGGUAGCUAAAUGCGGAAGAGAUAAGUGCUGAAAGCAUCUAAGCACGAAACUUGCCCCGAGAUGAGUUCUCCCUGAGACUUUAGGUCUCCUGAAGGAACGUUGAAGACGACGACGUUGAUAGGCCGGGUGUGUAAGCGCAGCGAUGCGUUGAGCUAACCGGUACUAAUGAACCGUGAGGCUUAACCUUACAACGCCGAAG